rnacentral:rRNA from 1 species
CCUACGGGAGGCAGCAGUGGGGAAUAUUGCACAAUGGGGGAAACCCUGACGCAGCGACGCCGCGUGAGUGAUGAAGUUCUUCGGUAUGUAAAGCUCUAUCAGCAGGGAAGAAAAUGAAGGUACCUGAUCAAGAAGCACCGGCUAACUACGUGCCAGCAGCCGCGGUAAUACGGAGGGCGCGAGCGUUAUCCGGAAUUACUGGGCGUAACGGGAGCGUAGACGGCAGGUCAAGUCUGGAGUGAAAUGCCGGGGCUCAACCUCGGAACUGCUUUUGAAACUGGGCAGCUGGAGUGCAUGAGAGGUAAGUGGAAUUCCAGGUGUAGGAGUGAAAUGCGUAGAUAUUAGGAGGAACACCAGUGGCGAAGGCGACUAACUGGACCGUAACUGACGUUGAGGCUCGAAAGCGUGGGGAGCAAACAGGAUUAGAUACCCCUGUAGUC